GAAAUGCGAUACUUGGUGUGAAUUGCAGAAUCCCGUGAACCAUCGAGUCUUUUAACGCAAGUUGCGCCCGAAGCCUUCUGGUCGAGGGCACGUUUGCCUGGGUGUCACGCAUCGCGUCUCCCCUUACCCACCCCGCGUAGGAUGUGGGGGAGGAGGAUGGCUUCCCGUGCCUCACAGGGCGCAACUGGCCUAAAUUAGGAGCCUUAGGUCACGAACUGCUUCGGCGAUUAGUGAUUAUUCAACUCUAUCAGUGCAAUGCGUGGCCAUCAUGGACUUGUAGGACCCUGUGUUGUCCCCUUCUGUGGACAAACUGUUGCGACCCCAGGUCAGGCGGGGCUACCUGCUGAGUUUAA
rnacentral:misc_RNA from 1 species